UGCGAACUCCUACGGGAGGCAGCAGUGGGGAAUAUUGGACAAUGGGCGCAAGCCUGAUCCAGCAAUGCCGCGUGGGUGAUGAAGGCCUUCGGGUUGUAAAGCUCUUUCGCACGCGACGAUGAUGACGGUAGCGUGAGAAGAAGCCCCGGCUAACUUCGUGCCAGCAGCCGCGGUAAUACGAAGGGGGCUAGCGUUGUUCGGAAUUACUGGGCGUAAAGGGCGCGUAGGCGGUACUUCAAGUCAGGCGUGAAAGCCCCGGGCUCAACCUGGGAACCGCGCUUGAGACUGGAGAACUAGAGUUCGGGAGAGGAUGGUGGAAUUCCCAGUGUAGAGGCGAAAUUCGUAGAUAUUGGGAAGAACACCGAUGGCGAAGGCAGCCAUCUGGACCGACACUGACGCUGAGGCGCGAAAGCGUGGGGAGCAAACAGGAUUAGAAACCCUGGUAGUCCAGAUG
rnacentral:rRNA from 1 species